rnacentral:rRNA from 1 species
GACGAACGCUGGCGGCGUGCUUAACACAUGCAAGUCGAACGGAAAGGCCCUGCUUUUGUGGUGUGCUCGAGUGGCGAACGGGUGAGUAACACGUGUGUAACCUGCCCUUGACUUUGGGAUAACUUCAGGAAACUGGGGCUAAUACCGGAUAGGAGCUCCUGCUGCAUGGUGGGGGUUGGAAAGUUUCGGCGGUUGGGGAUGGACUCGCGGCUUAUCAGCUUGUUGGUGGGGUAGUGGCUUACCAAGGCUUUGACGGGUAGCCGGCCUGAGAGGGUGACCGGCCACAUUGGGACUGAGAUACGGCCCAGACUCCUACGGGAGGCAGCAGUGGGGAAUAUUGCACAAUGGGCGGAAGCCUGAUGCAGCGACGCCGCGUGCGGGAUGACGGCCUUCGGGUUGUAAACCGCUUUCGCCUGUGACGAAGCGUGAGUGGCGGUAAUGGGUAAAGAAGCACCGGCUAACUACGUG